rnacentral:tRNA from 1 species
GCGGGCGUAGCUCAAUGGUAGAGUCUCAGUCUUCCAAACUGAUUACGCGGGUUCGAUUCCCGUCGCCCGCU